UGAGCGUGAAGGAGGGGGCGCUCACCAGGGGCCGCUGAAGGCCCCACACUUGCCUUCCAGUUCCCAGAACCAGUUCAGAUGUAUAAAAGAUCGGAAUGGGGGGGGGGGAGGUUGACAGGCUCUCUGUAAGGGGCCGGGGGUCCCACCAGCGCUUUAAGGUCUUUUCUGUCUACGGUUUGGCAGUUAGGACCCAAAGUUGGAUAGUAGGCAGGAAUUUAAAAGUCGCCCCCCCCAACAUGAAAGGGAACUAUACCACAAGAAAAAGGAAAACCUGGAAAAGAGCCACUGAGGAGCUAACAGUAGAUUUCCAGGACUGCUGAAGAGGACAAGCCGCAAAAGAUCGGGUUGUGUCGAGUCAGACGCAACUCCAGCGGGACGGCAGGCAAAUCGAGCGCUACUGCCUUGCCCCGGGCUCGGCCCGUUCCUUGGUCAGCGAGACCCUGACAGCGAGGAAGGGAAAAAACCCAGUGCCGAACCCACAGAAGCCCCUGUCGAAGGAGAGGAAGUCCCUGAGGGGUUGCUCCGUUCCCUGGCCACUGCGGACACUGUCUUCGGCCUCCCUCCCCUUCUGGUCUUUGGCCAACCUCAAGCUCCACCCACUCCCUGGAUGAACCCUA